rnacentral:rRNA from 1 species
AGUUGCUACGAAAGGGCACUCUAAUGAGACUGCCGGUGACAAACCGGAGGAAGUGGGGAUGACGUCAAGUCCUCAUGGCCCUUAUGGUAGGGCUUCACACGUCAUACAAUGGUCGGUACAGAGGGUUGCCAAGCCGCGAGGCGGAGCCAAUCCCACAAAGCCGAUCGUAGUCCGGAUUGUUCUCUGCAACUCGAGAGCAUGAAGUCGGAAUCGCUAGUAAUCGCAGGUCAGCAUACUGCGGUGAAUACGUUCCCGGGUCUU